rnacentral:rRNA from 1 species
GACGUAGGGCGCGAGCGUUGUCCGGAUUUAUUGGGCGUAAAGAGCUCGUAGGCGGCUUGUCGCGUCGACUGUGAAAACUCGGGGCUCAACUCCGAGCUUGCAGUCGAUACGGGCAGGCUAGAGUUCGGUAGGGGAGACUGGAAUUCCUGGUGUAGCGGUGAAAUGCGCAGAUAUCAGGAGGAACACCGGUGGCGAAGGCGGGUCUCUGGGCCGAUACUGACACUCAGGUGCGACAGCGUGGGGAGCAAACAGG